rnacentral:pre_miRNA from 1 species
AGUGGUAUAGCUGGGUCUUGAGGUAGCACUAUUCCUAAUUGUCUGAGAAAGCACCAGAUUGACUUCCAAAGUGGUUGUACCUGUUUACAUUCCCACCAG